CCUACGGGUGGCAGCAGUGGGGAAUAUUGCACAAUGGGGGAAACCCUGAUGUAGCAACGCCGCGUGAGUGAAGAAGUAUUUCGGUAUGUAAAGCUCUAUCAGCAGGGAAGAAGAAAGACGGUACCUGACUAAGAAGCCCCGGCUAACUACGGGCCAGCAGCCGCGGGAAUACGUAGGGGGCAAGCGUUAUACGGAUUUACUGGGUGUAAAGGGAGCGUAGACGGCUGGGCAAGUCUGAAGUGAAAGCCCGUGGCUCAACCGCGGGACUGCUUUGGAAACGGUAUAGCUGGAGUACAGGAGAGGCAAGCGGAAUUCCUAGUGUAGCGGUGAAAUGCGUAGAUAUUAGGAGGAACACCAGUGGCGAAGGCGGCCUACUGGACAGAAACUGACGUUGAGGCUCGAAAGCGUGGGGAGCAAACAGGAUUAGAUACCCGUGUAGUC
rnacentral:rRNA from 1 species